UGCGGCGCUGUUGCGCUUCGCGCUCGCGUGGAGCUCCCGCUGCGGCCGUAAUGACUGCGAGCGCGGGAACGCGCCGCGCUGGGGCCGGAGGAGCGGGGCGGGAGGGAUAGCGCUGCCCGAAGUUUGCUGCCUCUGCCGGCAGGAUCCUCCGCCGCCCCUUUCUCCUCCCCAUGUAAAUGGACGCGCAGAUCUCCCGGCGAGGAGGAAAUGGGCAAUAACGAGGCGAUAAACGCGUUCACUGUGUAAUCAUUGCGGCAAUUUGCAGAAGUGUUCUUUUCGCCCCCAGCCCACCUGAGGGGAGCGACGGCGCUCGGACGUGACACGGAACUGCUGAGGACGUGGCAGCGGGCUGCUGUGUUUGGCAGUUCCAGGCUGUGAAAUCAAUCGUAUACAUAUUUGGCCAGAACUUCUCCCAGAGCAGCGCGCGGUUCCCUGAGCGCUCGUUUAGAACGGCCGGCUCCCUGCUGUAAGGUGCUGGGAGACCGAACGGCGCCCAGCGAGUGGAAAACCUGUCCUGUGCUCUGCUUGGGACACGGAGAGCCACGGGCGGGACGGUGUUAUGAGCCGUGCUUCAGUUCAGGAGCUCUGCAGAACGGAGCCAGUCUGGUCAGCAGAGCUGGGCGAGCCCGUAAAUUACCUCUGUCAGGCUCCUAUUGCCUCUUACAAUGUACCUUUUUACGCUGAACUUAAGCUCUGCACUAGAGACAGCAGAUGUGAGGUGAUGCUUUCCAAAAGCAACACAGAUGCUGUGCAAUUUCCAUCGUAAUAUUUCAGCAAGGAAGCUCAGGAGACAUGCCGAAUGCUGCAGUUUAGAAUUACACUGUAACUCCCAGAAAUAAGAGAAUACUAAGUUUCUCAAUAGCUCACUUGGCUUCAGUUUUGCUGUCGUUCAUAUAUGCUCUUGUUUUCUUGCAGUGGGAGAAGAGAUGUGGCACGAAGAUGCUGAGUCUUGAAGCUGUUCAGUAACAAAGCUGGAACUAUGAAACUUCGUAGCAGUUUAGUGAUAAUUUCUCAAAAUUGUCUUUCAGAUAUAUAAAACAACGUAGCCGAGGGGAGGGCGCUCUGCUUUAUGUGACUGAAAAGCAGCCUGAAUAGCUUACAGCUGUGGAAUCACAGCCGUUGUGUGCUCUUCCAGUACUGAGGCUUCAAUGAAGUCACUGGAAGCACUGAGAUGAAGGAGCCAGGGGUCAAGUCUUAAAAAUGGAUUGUGUGUUUUUCCAGAAAAUACAGCAGCUGCUUUUUCUGAAAAACUAUGCUUUGCUAUAGCCAUACAGAUUGCUUUAGAAUACUUCGUAGUGGUUUCCAAACAAAUGUCCAGUCAUCAGACCAUGCUGAAAUAGAAAACAUGCAGAUGAAGGCAAAAACGUUACGGAUGCUGCAACUCUUUGCAAACCUGUAGAUUUGGCAAUAAGUAGUUUGAGCAAGUCUUUGUUGCCACAAAUGUUUGUGCCGCUUUAGUUCAAACAUUUCAGCUAUUCUUUGUCAUUGGCUUCUCUAAGCCUAAUUUUUGUCUGUUUCUAAGGCUUUGCUCACUUGAUUGUAUGGAUCAGAUCAAACCGGGGAAUGGCAACUUCUGAGUUUUUAGUUUGAAAGCUUCAUCCAGAGACUGUUUCUGCAAACAGUGAUUACCUACAGGACAUGGGAUUUUGUAUGUGCAGCAUGUUGGACAACACCAUGAAAUGAGAAAGUGGAACUUUGUGAGGGCAGAGUAAAGAGCAAGUAGAGGAAAGAAUAUCUUUGCAGGUAGGUGCAGUAGUGUAAGAUGGAGUUGUGGCAUUGUGCUAUGUUUAGUUUUUCCCUAAAAAGUACCACCUUUUUUCCAGUUCAGACUUUUUUCCCACAUGCCAUGUGUGGUCCCAAACUGAGCAGUGUGAUGAGCAGUCCAAGUAUGGAAAGGAAUGCACUGAUAUGCACUUCUGGAAGUCAGCAAAGCAGAAAUUAUGAGUAAAAAUCCAGCUCUAUAAACUUGCAAAAAAAAAAAAGAAAACAAAAAAAACCAGGGACUGGAGAGUACAAGUAUGCACAUAUAUCCUAUGUUUUGAUAGGUAUUUUUCCUUUCACAGAGGAAUUAAAUAGCAUUGACACAUCUUCUGAGACAGCCUAUAUUUUAUUGUGAUUCUUGAGAACUCCUUGUAGACAAGAAGAAGAAUGUUUUGUUUAUAACUUUUCAGGGUUGUCAAAUCUGAUUGCAAAUGGGCCCACUACCAUGAUGGUCAUACAGGAGAGAGACUUCAGGGAAAAAGAAAAUACACUGUGCACGAUCUGCUGUGUUUGCUACUUCUAAGGUGCAGUGGGGAGGUGAAAGGGAAGGAGGAGAAACUGCUGGAAGAUUGCUUUGCUGUCCCUUUUCCACAAAGGAGGAUGACAAAGUGAUUGAUUAGUGCUGUGUUCUGAGGAUUGCUCCAGCAGUGCAACAGUGAAGCUGCAGGUUGUGGCUGGAGAAUUUUCUGCAGAAUAGAAGUGUAGACCUUGAUUAGACUCCUUCCUGAGGCUGCUUUGGAUGUGUUGGCUUAGCAAGAAGCAGCAUGAACAGCAGAAUCAGCAUAGAAAGUUAGUGGCAGCAGCAGUUUAGCAUGAGGACAACAUAAGGUCAAGGUGUAUCAAAAGGUUUACCUUUAUUCCCUCACUCCAUGCAGUCAGGGAUUGGGCUGCAAUGUCCAUGUAAUCAUAUUAUGCCUCAUUUCCCUUUGGCAAACCAACGGAGGAGGAAGGAAUGCAAGAAAACAUGGUUUGUGAGGAUUAUGAAUGAAAAUAAAUGCUCUGAGGGCAAUCCUUUUUUGUUUGUUUUGUUUUCAUAGUAUUAGUUUUCAAUUUUGCCCGUUACUUAGCAAGCCUUAUUUACUUUCCACCUGUGCUACAGAUUGUAAUACCUCGUGAUGUGAUGUGACUUUUAAAGAUAAGCUUUUAGUUUUCCUGCAUUAAAGUCACUGGGUUUUGUUUUUUUUUCAUUUUUACCAUAUAUGGAGAAUAAUAAAAAUAUCAUGCAGUUCAGUGUCUACACAUGAGGUAUGUAUGGAUGUAAUGAGUAGUGGUGUCUUUCUCCGACUGCCCUGAUAACCAACCACUUACUUUCAAACAACUGCUAGAUCAUUAGUGUGUAAGUGUACUCCUGAAUUGAUCCAGGAUGGCAAGAACUUCGGUCUCUGGUGCUAAUACAAGAAUAUACACAUGCAGCGUUCACUCUUAAAAGUCAAAGCUUGUCCCAGUGUAAGUACUGAAGACCUCCAGCAUGCCAGUGACAUUUGUUGUUAUAUGAUUCUGUCCUUAUGCUUCGUCAAAAUGUUGUUAAUGCUCACACAUGCUCAAAUAGCACAUGCACCAUAAUUACUCCCAGCAUGGGCUGUGAAGCCCUUUUAAUGAAUCUUCAUUUUUGGGAACUUCAGUUUUUACCAAUUUGGGUAUAAACCCCUGCAAAUUUUCUCAUAAAUGUUCACUAUCGUCUGGCUUACCUGACUGAGCUGUACCCAUCUGAGGUGAAUGGCUUUCAAAUAAGAAUUACCAUCUUAUGAUGGUAUGGCAUGCAUGUAUCUGGUUUUCAAUGUCGGAAUGUUCUGGAGGAAUGAAGGGGACCCCUGUUUUUUAACUUGACUUCUGUUAAUUUCAAUCAUGUUUGGGCUACAUGGUAAUAGAUUGUGAUAGGAUCAGUUACUCUUAUUUCCGAGUAUUGAAUUUAUAGGUUAUAUGGAAGAAUCAGAAUGGAGAAGCCGAAGAGUGCAGAGCUCUUUCUCAUAUGCUGUAAAUCAAUUUUGGAAUGGCUUAGUUGCUACGUUGUGAGCAAGCGUGUGACUCCUGCCAAGAAAUUAGCCCAGCCCGUGUACUAUUCUGUACUAGCUGAUCCAGCCUGGUAGAAGUAGACUUGAAAAUCAAGCUUUGAGCUAAGGAUGCCCCAUCUGCCAGCAGGUUAGUCUGGGCAAUUUGAGUUGCUUCAGAGACAAGAUUAGGCAGUGCAGUCCAGUUUGACUCACCAGUUUUUGCACUGUAUAAUUAUAUGGGGACAUUAGCUUAGGUGUCUGCCCUCCCUCAUUCUGUAAAUUAAAUGAAAAAUUAAUAGGGAGAUGACUUCUGAGGAAGAAGUGAACUGAACAAAAGACUCUUGGUAUUCAAAUGCAUGGAUACAAAAUCCAGAUGUAAUGAAAAGCAAAACUUUAUUUAACUGAUUUGAAGAGAAACUUGUUUUGUGAAAUCCUAGAACAAUAUAAAGCUGUUCAGAAAUUCUGACGCUACCUUUUGCACCUUGUAAGUGUAUAAUAGCAGAACUUAAAGGAAUAACAUUUCUCAUACAUAUUUGAAAUGGAGCUUUUUAAUUUUCACUGUUUCCAAUCCAGCCUCUGAUGGAGGAUGCACAACAGUCAAUUUUAAAAUGCUGAGUGAUAAAAAUCACACUUAGAAAUUCUUACAGAAAUUACUCAUUGCCCUAGAGUUAAAAUGGAAAUAACAAACAUAUCUUUCAUCACUCAUUUUGAAUAUUUAUUCUUUGUGUUUCACUCUAAACAAAAAAUUUUAUCUCUAGGGUUAGAUCCUGAAUAAUCCUUCACUGUACUAAUUUUGCUGGGACAAUACAUAAGUGGCUGGUGAUUCCAAAUAUGAAUAAAGACAGCAGGCUUGGGCUUGUGUUAAUUUUGAUGAAUAAAUUGGCCUCGAGAAUGACAAGUUGUGUUAGCACUUUUCACUUUAUAACAUUACACAGCCAAAGAUGUUAACUCUGUGCAGCGAAUUGGCAAUAAGCAGUGCGUGGAACUGCUUGUAUGGAACAUUCAGGUGCUGUCUCAGUAGAAAUUCACUCUUAAAAACCUUUCUCCAUUUUUAUUUUAGUGAAAGAACAGUGUGAUUGAAAAACAAAGUGUUGAGAGGAAUUUCACUGUAAUAGCAAAAUGUCUUUCAUUUUACCCAUUGAGUUUUUUUAAUACGGAUAUUUCUUUGCCAGUUCCUUUGAGUUGUUCUGGUUCUUAGUUGGUGCUAAUGAUGGCAAUAAUAGCCCUGUGUGUGUGUGGUGGGGGAAAAGAAAAUAGUACUGUAUUGGUUGGAGAUUUUUUUGCAGUUGUUUUUUGUGUGCUCACAUGCUCACAACUGUGUUACGAAAUGUGCAAUCUUGAUUGAUUUAUUUCUUUUAUAUGUUCAUUUGUUGUGCAUUUGUGGCAGGGUCAUAGUGGGGGAGUUGUGUGACUGGAAAUAACCACAAGGAAGGAGCUGGAGAACAGAUAUUUAUGCCUAACAUUCAAGUAUAAACUUUGUCCCUCGUGGUGUUAGUUGGGUGCUUCUCUGUCUGGUUGGGAUGCUUUCUGGAUGAGAUGUCAGUUGUUCCAGUGGAUGCUGGGGUCCCAGGAAAAGGUGUGAUAACGUCCAGAAUGGGAUAAUUCACUCUUUAUUGUACUCAAGACCUUGUCAAAUUAAUUCCUUCUGGAAAUCGCUGAACUGGGGACCAUUUUCUUGCUACUUUGCCAAUUCUGGUAUAUUUCUUGUAUCACAAAUUUCUUAUCUAGUAAGCAUACACAUUGUUGGAAGCUCUCUUUAUUCUUUGCUGACCUGAGCUGUUGGGCUGGUUAGUCUUUCAUAACUUUGGACUCAUACGCUAAGCUAUCUCAGCAAAGACGGUGCCCAGAGAAGCUGUGGAUGCCCCAUCCCUAAAGGCAUUCAAGCUCAGGUUGGGUGGGGCCCUGGACAGUCUGAUCUGUCUGACUUAGUGAGGGACAACCCUGUCCACAGCAGGGGGGUUGAAAUUAGAUGAUCUGUAAGUUCUUUUCCAGGUAAAUCACUGUAUGAGCCUAUAUGGAUUCAUUUUAUGAAUCUAUGAUUCUGUGACUUGCACCCUAAGUUAUCUCAUCUAUGGGAGCCUUACUGUUUUUAUUUGGUUUUAGCUACUUAGCCUUUGAAUCACUAACCUGUUAUGGAAUAUUUGAAAAAUUUACUUUUGUUUAAAACAUUUCUGAUUCUUGUAUUGACAAACCCAGACAUCAGGCUGGAAUCUGCAGGUUAACGAAUAAGGCCUUCCUUGACCUAUAAAACUGCUGCAUGAAUUUCUGAUAAAAAAUAAAAAGCUUUUUAAAUGUUUGUCUUUAUUCUCCAUGAAAAAUAUGACAUGCUGCAACAAAAUUCAGAGGACUGGAAGACUUUGUCUGAGAAACAAAGCUUCUCAAUUUGAGAAACAUUACUGUAGUUCUCCUUUAACAUUAUAAUCUGGUAGCCUGCUGGUCUUAUUCUGUAAGAUUGAGAGUGCCUACCAUCUCUAACACUGCACCAUGAUCUUUUUCUUUGAAGGGAGUGUAGGAAGUAGGGAAACCCUUGAAAUGACCUAUUAUUGGAGUUGACCUUUAAAUGGUGAGUGCAGUUGAUAGAGGAGAUCUGUUACACUGAGCAGAUAGGCCACAGAUUAAUACGUUUUUCAAUCCAAAUAAUUUGGUUUGCAAGUAAGUAUGGCUUUUUGGAAAAGUAUAUUUGCAGAAGCACAUACUUCAGGAAUGCAAAAAA